AUUGAACGCUGGCGGCGGGCCUAACACAUGCAAGUCGAACGGGUGGCGGACGGGUGAGUAAUGUCUGGGAAACUGCCCGAUGGAGCGAGAUAACUACUGGAAACGGUAGCUACUACCGCAUAACAUCCGAUGUGCCCAGAGUGGAUUAGCUAGUAGGUGGGGUAACGGCUCACCUAGGCGACGAUCCCUAGCUGGUCUGAGAGGAUGACCAGCCACACUGGAACUGAGACACGGUCCAGACUCCUACGGGAGGCAGCAGUGGGGAAUAUUGCACAAUGGGCGAAAGCCUGAUGCAGCCAUGCCGCGUGUAUGAAGAAGGCCUUCGGGUCGUAAAGCACUUUUAGCGGGGAGGCGUUACCUGCACAAGAAGCACCGGCUAACUCCGUGCCAGCAGCCGCGGUAAUAC
rnacentral:rRNA from 1 species